AUAACGCCCCGUUUUUGUCGCAAGAUAUAAAUGGGUUCAAUACCUAAAACCGUGUCUACCUACCUUUGUUGCUUUGGCAGGCCGCCUUCGGGCGUCGGCUUCGGCUGACCAGUGUCUGCCAGAGGCCCAAAAUACUGUGUUUAGUGAUGUCUGAGUACUAUAAAAUAUUUA
rnacentral:misc_RNA from 1 species